UCCGGUGACUAUAGUACAAGGAUCAUACCCGUUCCCAUUCCGAACACGGUAGUUAAUAUUUGUACGCCGAUGGUACUGUCCAAAAGACGGGAGAGUAGGUAUUGCCGGAU
rnacentral:rRNA from 1 species